rnacentral:rRNA from 1 species
GAUGAACGCUGGCGGCGUGCCUAAUACAUGCAAGUCGAGCGAACAGAUGAGGAGCUUGCUCCUCUGACGUUAGCGGCGGACGGGUGAGUAACACGUGGAUAACCUACCUAUAAGACUGGGAUAACUUCGGGAAACCGGAGCUAAUACCGGAUAAUAUAUUGAACCGCAUGGUUCAAUAGUGAAAGACGGUUUUGCUGUCACUUAUAGAUGGAUCCGCGCCGCAUUAGCUAGUUGGUAAGGUAACGGCUUACCAAGGCAACGAUGCGUAGCCGACCUGAGAGGGUGAUCGGCCACACUGGAACUGAGACACGGUUCAGACUCCUACGGGAGGCAGCAGUAGGGAAUCUUCCGCAAUGGGCGAAAGCCUGACGGAGCAACGCCGCGUGAGUGAUGAAGGUCUUCGGAUCGUAAAGCUCUGUUAUUAGGGAAGAACAAAUGUGUAAGUAACUAUGCACGUCUUGACGGUACCUAAUCAGAAAGCCACGGCUAACUACGUG